rnacentral:rRNA from 1 species
CCUACGUGAGGCUGCAGUGGGGAAUAUUGGACAAUGGGCGAAAGCCUGAUCCAGCCAUGCCGCGUGUGUGAAGAAGGCCUUCGGGUUGUAAAGCACUUUCAGCGGGGAAGAAAGCCUUGGGGCUAAUACCCUCGAGGAAGGACAUUACCCACAGAAGAAGCACCGGCUAACUCCGUGCCAGCAGCCGCGGUAAUACGGAGGGUGCGAGCGUUAAUCGGAAUUACUGGGCGUAAAGCGCGCGUAGGCGGUCUGAUAAGCCGGUUGUGAAAGCCCCGGGCUCAACCUGGGAACGGCAUCCGGAACUGUCAGACUAGAGUGCAGGAGAGGUAGGUAGAAUUCCCGGUGUAGCGGUGAAAUGCGUAGAGAUCGGGAGGAAUACCAGUGGCGAAGGCGGCCUUCUGGACUGACACUGACGCUGAGGUGCGAAAGCGUGGGUAGCAAACAGGAUUAGAUACCCCAGUAGUC